rnacentral:rRNA from 1 species
ACUACAAGCUCUGGCUUAAAACCCAAAGGACUUGGCGGUGCUUUAGAUCCACCUAGAGGAGCCUGUCCUAUAACCGAUGAUCCCCGUUCAACCUCACCUUUCUUUGUUAACCCCGCCUAUAUACCGCCGUCGUCAGCUUACCUCAUGAGAGACUUAUAGUAAGCAAAACUGGUACAGCCCAGAACGUCAGGUCGAGGUGUAGCGAAUAGAAAGGGAAGAGAUGGGCUACAUUCCUUGAAUUAAGGAAUACGAAUGAUGUUCUGAAACGUUCAUCCGAAGGAGGAUUUAGCAGU